rnacentral:lncRNA from 1 species
GAUAAAUUGAUAAAGAAGAGUCCACUAGAGAAGAAACAAAACUGAAUUCAAGUAGUGAAGCCUUAAAAAAUGUUCUUAGAGCUCAUUUAAGACCAUAUAGUGACUUAUUGAGCUUGCAUACAUAAGUGGAAAAGUCUGGAUGAACAAACUCGUGAGGCUGUUCCAUGUAUAUAUCCUCCUGCAAAACUCCAUGUAAGAAAGCAUUAGAAACAUGUAGCUGACGUAUGUACCAAUCAAAGUAAACAGCAAGAGCAAAGAUGAUCAUGUUUCGGAAUCCCUUUGAAGAUCUUGAUUUUCAGGCUUAGAAAUCAACACAAUCGACCCUAUUUUAGCAAGAUUGACCCUCAACACUUCAAAACUUGGUUGCCUCUUUCUAGCAGCACAAAGGAGAUGAAAUGGAGAUUGGUUUGCAGCCACUAAGGUAGAGAAGAAAACAAGAGGAAACGGAAACAAUGGUGGAUUUUGUGAAGAACUCAGUUGCCUCUAUUUGAUUUUCCCCUUCACUUUGCAAACACUCAAAC